CACGUAGGGCGCAAGCGUUGUCCGGAAUUAUUGGGCGUAAAGAGCUCGUAGGCGGCUUGUCGCGUCGUCUGUGAAAUCCCGCGGCUCAACUGCGGGCUGGCAGUCGAUACGGGCAGGCUGGAGUUCGGUAGGGGAGACUGGAAUUCCUGGUGUAGCGGUGAAAUGCGCAGAUAUCAGGAGGAACACCGAUGGCGAAGGCGGCUUCCUGGACCGACACUGACGCUGAGGCGCGAAAGCUAGGGGAGCAAACGGG
rnacentral:rRNA from 1 species